AAUCAACGCUGGCGGCGUGCCUAACACAUGCAAGUCGAGCGGUAAGGCCCUUUCGGGGGUACACGAGCGGCGAACGGGUGAGUAACACGUGGGUGACCUGCCCUCAGCUCUGGGAUAAGCCUGGGAAACCGGGUCUAAUACUGGAUAUGACUCCAUGACGCAUGUUGUGGGGUGGAAAGCCUUGUGCGGCUGAGGAUGGGCCCGCGGCCUAUCAGCUUGUUGGUGGGGUGAUGGCCUACCAAGGCGACGACGGGUAGCCGGCCUGAGAGGGCGACCGGCCACACUGGGACUGAGACACGGCCCAGACUCCUACGGGAGGCAGCAGUGGGGAAUAUUGGACAAUGGGCGCAAGCCUGAUCCAGCCAUGCCGCGUGGGUGAUGAAGGCCCUAGGGUUGUAAAGCCC
rnacentral:rRNA from 1 species